AGCCGGCUCUGCUCCUCCCCGCCUGAAGGUCCACCCGCCGGCACUGCUUCUCCUCGCCUGGGAAGUUCCACCCGCUGGCACUGCUCCUCCAAGCCUGGGAAGCUCCGCCGGCCGCACUGCUCCUCGAACCUCCUCCCCGCUGCACUGCUCCAGCCUCCAAGUCUGCAAGGUCCUCACCGCCGACGGCCUCAUCCUGCUCCAAGGAUGCCGACAUCAGAGAAUGUACAAGUUGAUGGAGCCAGCACUGAGGCAGUGAAUCUGCUGAAAAGGAACUCAGAUGAUGUUGGAUGGGAGUAUGGUGUUCUUGUUGAUGCUAACAACAAGGACAAGCAAUACCUUUCAAUGCAUGUGACAAUGAUGACUUCAAGCAAAUGUGUGAAGCAAUUGGACAGUUUGGACCUGGAUUUCAGCCUCCAAGUGAUGAUUUACUGCGAGAGAAAUUGCUGGAACAAGAAUAUGCAAGAACCAAGAGUUUGAUGCAGGAAUGUCAAGCUGAGAAGUUGAAAAAUGGGUGCUCUGUUAUGACCGAUGCUUGGUCAGAUAGGAAGAGGAGAAGCAUAAUGAAUCUGUGCAUUAAUUGUGCUGAAGGAACUGAAUUCAUCAGCUCAAAAGAGAUGUCAGAUGUGUCACACACAAGUGAAGUCAUCUUUGAACUAGUGGACAAAGCAAUUGAAGACUUGGGUCCCGAAAAUGUAGUGCAAGUAGUGACCGACAAUGCCUCUAACAACAUGGGAGCAAAGAAGCUAUUGCUUGAGAAGAGACCACAGAUAUUUUGGACAUCUUGUGCAGCUCACACAAUCAACUUGAUGCUCCAAGGAAUUGGCAACAUGCCUAGGUUCAAGAAAGUGAUUGACCAAGCAAAGGCAUUUACCAUAUUUGUCUAUGGCCACACAAGAACAUUGGACUGCUUGAGAUACUUCACGGAGGGGAAAGAGGUAGUGAGGGCAGGAGUGACUAGGUUUGCUUCAAACUUUCUCACUUUGAACAGCAUGCUAGAGAAGAAGGACCAGCUAAGAAAAAUGGUGGUUCAUACUAGGUGGGACUCAUUGAAGGAUGUGAAAUCAAAGAAAGGAAAAGAUGCCACAGCAACUAUAUUGAGUCCAACCUUUUGGAAGGAAGUGAAGCUAAUAUUGGCUGUUUUUGAGCCAUUGUUCAAAGUCCUCCGUUUGGCUGAUGGGGAUGUGAAGGCAUCCAUGGGUUUCAUUUAUGGAGAACUACUAAAGGCAAAGAGAGAGAGAUCAAAGAGGUCUUUGGCAAUAAUGAGACUCGAUUCAAGGAUGUACUAGCUGUUAUUGAGAAGAAGAUGAAGGGAAGACUUGAUUCUCUAUUGCAUUUGACAGCUAAUUUGCUCAAUCCACACUAUAGCUUUACUAACCCAUCAAUCUUUGAUGAGCCCAAAAUGAAUGAAGCAUUUAUAGCUUGUGUUGAGCAAUUUUAUUAUCAUGACGAGGACAAGCAAGAUCAAGCUGCCAACAUUGAAUUGAAAAAGUUUCAAAAUAGAGAAGGAGCAUUUAGCAAGAAGCUAGCAAGGACUUUUGAAAACUUUGAUUACAAUCCAGCCUCAUGGUGGAGGUUGUAUGGAAGCCACACACCAGCUUUAUAGAAGAUGGCUACAAGGAUCUUAUCUUUGACAUCAAGUGCUUCUGGUUGUGAAAGAAAUUGGAGUGGGUUUGAAGGGAUACACACUAAGAAGAGGAAUAGACUAACUACAGCCCGCCUCGAAAAGUUGGUCUAUAUUCAAUUCAACAACAGGCUGCUUAGUAAGAGAGAAAAGAUCAAGACAAAGAAGAUCACUGAUGUUCUAUUGUCUAGUGAUACAACUGAAGUUCAAGGUUUUCUCCAAGAGGGUGGAGAUGAUUGCGCAUUAGUUGUCUUUAGAGAUGAGGAAGAUGAGGAUGAGAUGGAAGGUACAGGGAUACCUUGGGCUGUUAUUGGAGAGGCAGUGGGAGCAGAAGAGCAGCUUGAGCGGCGUAGAAGUGGUAGUGUGAGGGAGGCAAGGGAGCUCUAUGAAGGAGAAGAGUUUUCGUCCGAAGAAGAAGAGUAUGAGUCUGAUGAGGAUGAGGAUGAGUGAGUGAGGCAAGGGAGCUCUUAUGAACUGUUGUUGUGUGCUAUGUUGUGUGCUAUGUUGUGUGCUAUGUGACUGUGUGAACCCUUGAGGGGUAUGAACUAUUUGCUUGUGCUUGUGUUUGUGUUGUAUGAACUGCUGCUGUAGUGCUGUGACGUCCUUUAUUUAUAAAUUGUGUUGUGCACUUGUACUGCUGGCU